AUUGAACGCUGGCGGCAGGCCUAACACAUGCAAGUCGAGCGAGCGGCGGACGGGUGAGUAAUGUAUGGGGACUGCCAGAUCGAGGGGGAUAACUACUGGAAAGCGUGGCUAAUACUGCAUACUAUCGGAUAACCCAUAGGGGAUUAGCUAGUAGGUGGGGUAAAGGGUAACCAAGGCGAAGCUCUCGAGCUGGUCUGAUAGGAUGAUCAGCCACACUGGGACGGAGACACGUCCCAGACUCCUACGGAGGCAGCAGGGGGGAAUAUUGCACAAUGGGCGCAAGCCUGAUGCAGCAAUGCCGCGUGGAUGAAGAAGGCCUUAGGGUGGUAAAGUACUGUCAGCAGGGAGGCGUUACCCACAGAAGAAGCACCGGCUAACUCCGUGCCAGCAGCCGCGGUAAUAC
rnacentral:rRNA from 1 species